rnacentral:rRNA from 1 species
GAAUCUUGCGCAAUGCACGACAGUGUGACGCAGCAACGCCGCGUGGGGGAAGAAGGCUUUCGGGUCGUAAACCCCUUUCAGGAGGGACGAAGCUUCGGUCGCGAAUCGCGGUCCGGAGUGACGGUACUUCCACAAAAAGCCCCGGCUAACUACGUGCCCGCCGCCGCGGUAAUACGUAGGGGGCAAGCGUUGUCCGGAAUCAUUGGGCGUAAAGAGCGCGUAGGCGGCCAGAUAAGUCCGGUGUGAAAGUCACAGGCUCAACCUGUGAAUGCCGCUGGAAACUGUCUGGCUAGAGUCCGGUGGGGGCGAGUGGAAUUCCUGGUGUAGCGGUGAAAUGCGCAGAUAUCAGGAGGAACACCAAUGGCGAAGGCAGCUCGCUGGAACGGUACUGACGCUGAGGCGCGAAAGCGUGGGGAGCGAACAGG